GAGGGCAGGCCCCUCGGAGCCGGUAUUCAGGUGCAGGCUCCAAACCGCCUUGUGCGGCUGUGCUUAAAAGGCAUGGUCGUGAGCGACAAGGAAAAGUUACCGGAAAGGUAGCAGGU
rnacentral:ncRNA from 1 species